GAGAGGCAGGCGGGCCCUAGCUGCAGCGUCAAGAAGGCUGACCUGUGUGGAUGCAUUAUCAGGGUGGAUGCAACACAGGGCUGCCAUGCUCUCUGGUAUCAGUUUGGAAGGCACUGGCAGGAUGGGAAGGCAGGCGGGGAGUGAGGUCAGGGGGCCUAUCCUUCCACUGCCUCCCUGCUGCUCCCUGACUGAUUCAGAGCCAGUCUUGGUGCUCUGUGUUCACCUGGUUCAUCUGAGGAGCUGCAUCUACCCUGCCCAUGCCAUAGAUCCUGCCCUGUUUGCUUCUCCUGUUGCUGCUAGUGGACAUGAGAAGGACAGAAUAACGGGCUCCCAGAUUCACAAGCCCCACCAAGAGGAUCACCCCAGGAAUGCUUGGAGGCUGAGGAGUUCACUGAGGCUACUGCAUCUUGAGACUCAGGAUGAAGACCCAGCUUGGGGCUGUCAAAGGUUUUUUGCAUGUCUGACACCCAUGACUCCACCUGGACCUUAUGGCUCCACCCAGAAGCAAUUCAGCCCAACAGGAGGACAGCUUCAACCCAUUACGAUUUCAUCUCUGCCCCAACCACUCAGCAGCAAGCACCUGUUACCUGUCCAUCCCCACCCCUUCCCCCAAACUGCCUUUGAAAAAUCCCUAACCUAUGAGCUUUGAAUAAGAUGAGUACGAACUUCAUCGCCCAUGUGGCGUGGCCGGCCUCGUGUCUAUUAAAUUCUUUUUCUACUACAA
rnacentral:sRNA from 1 species